rnacentral:rRNA from 1 species
AAAACCGACUCUCGGCAACGGAUAUCUCGGCUCUCGCAUCGAUGAAGAACGUAGCGAAAUGCGAUACUUGGUGUGAAUUGCAGAAUCCCGUGAACCAUCGAGUCUUUGAACGCAAGUUGCGCCCUAAGCCAUUUGGCCGAGGGCACGUCUGCCUGGGCGUCAAUC